GUUAUAUUUCUUAGUGGUACAACCUAUUCUAUUAUCCCAGAAAGGUCCAUCAGGAAAAUUCCAUGCUGCAUAUCUUUAAAUGUGAAGCCAAGUAUAUUCAACUGUAGCUCUCUUUCUUGGAUUUUAGAAAGCAAAAUUGUGACAUCAUUUGGUGACUUCAUGAAAGUGCUUCCUCUUGUUCCCUCAAGAAAGGUACUCUGAAUGGUUGAUUCUGCUGGAUCUAUUUGCCUCUAUGUUUACAACUUCUUCACCACUCUUGAUAUAAAAAUGACUCUGGCAUGUCAGCAGCAAUGAGAUUAUUGAAUUCUAGUAGAGUCAUGUAGACAGGACUGAGGAGCCAGGCAAAAUGACUACUGGCCCAAGAAGGGACACAUUAAGCACCAGUAAAAAUAGGGUCUUUUGAGAAGGACAUAGAGCUGUGGGACUGAGGGACAAUACUCCAAGCAUCAUACAGAUUGGGACUCCCACAAAAAGAGAACACACAUGUUGGAGAAUGUAGGAUGUCAGAGUUUUAAGGGGAUGAGAGGUAUUUUACUGAAGAUAUCAUCAAGAGGCUACAAAACAAGAAAAAUCUACGGACACAUGCUCCCUUACUCCAGCAGAGAAGGCACGAAAGAGUCUAAGUAUCGUUAUAUUCAGAAGGUACCAGGAUGGGAAAGAAGAGACAAGUUUAGAGCUUUUGUAUAAAAAUAAGAACUGGAAAUGGGAAGUUACUUCUAUUAAUAUAUCCCACAUCCCACCACCACAUAAAUGACUAAGAGAGUUCUGAGCUAUAGUUAAAGGGAAAAAUGUGUCUCAUUACAAGAUGAAUAGA